GGAGCAAGACAUAAGGGCGUAUGGUGGAUGCCUUGGGAUGUUGGGGCGAUGAAGGUCGUGGCGUGACUGCGAUAAGCCUCGGGGAGCUGUCUAGCGAGCUUUGAUCCGGGGAUGACCGAAUGAGGAAACUCGGCGCUGAAAACCAGCGUCAAGCGCUGCUUUUCAGCUAAGUUAAAAGUUUAAAAUUAAAAGUUAAAAAUUAUGGUGUCGCUUCGCGACGAUUUAUAUAAAAUAAAUCCCGCGUAGCGGGAUACUAAAACUUUUCACUUUUCACUUUUCAUUUUUAAUUUAGCUGCGAAGCAGCGUUGGCACACCCGCUGAAGUAAAACAUUUCAGUAAGCGGAGGAAAAGAAAAAAAUGCGGAGCAUUUUUUUCUGACAUAUCGAUAUUUCGAAAUUUCGAUAUUUCAGGGAAAUUUGCUUCGCAAAUUCCCCCAGUAGCGGCGAGCGAAAAGGGAACAGCCUAAAUCAGUCAGUGCUUCGCACUGACACGCGAAAAAACGCAAGGCGGCCGCGUUAGCGGCCGACCGCCAAAAAAACGCAAAAAUUUUUGCGUAAAAUUGGCGAUUAUGCCUUGGCGUAAAUUGGCGUGCCAAUGCGGAGUAUUGGCUGACGUUGCAAGGUGAUGAUGUUUGAUUUAUCAAGAGGAGUCAAAAAAUGGAAACUUCGUUAGCAGAAGUCCCGUGGAAACGGGACGCCAAAGAGGGUAAUAGCCCCGUAUGCGAAAACGGUUUUCAUACUUCUUAUCAUCAUUCUUAAGUACGACGGGGAACGAAAGCCCCGUCGGAAUCCGGCAGGACUAUAAAGUCAGUGUUUCACACUGACCGCUAAUUGACGCAAGAAAAUGCACGCAAAAAAACGCAAAAAUUUGCGUAAAUUUGCGAGUAUUUCAAUUUGCGUAAAAUUGGCGUCAAUGCGAAGCAUUGACUGCUGCCAAGGCUAAAUACUCAACAUCACCGAUAGUGAACAAGUACCGUGAGGGAAAGGUGAAAAGCAGCCCGUUGAGGGCGGUGAAAUAGACCUGAAACCAUAUGCUUACAAAGAAUCGGAGCCAUUGCGGAGCAAUGGAAGCGCCAAGAAACAAGAAACAAUAACCAAACAAAAAUCAAUAACUAAAAUUCAAAGAUACAAAACAGUUUUCGAUUUUUUGUGAAUUGGAAUUUGAGAUUUGUUUGGGAUUUGUCUCUUGAAAUUUGGAAUUUCCACUGCUUCGCAGUGGUAACGGUGUGCUUUUUGCAGAACGAUCCAACGAGUUUAUUUAUAUUGCUCAUCUAAGUCCUUCGGGACGGAGAUACAGGGAAACCGAGUGUUAAUAGCGCGAUUUACCACUGAUAAACGCUGAUCUAUUUAUGGGUCCGCGUUUAUCCGUGGUUUGGUAGUAUAAAUAAGACCCGAAGCCAGAGCGAGCUUGCCUUGGUCAGGAUGAACUUUGGGUAACACCAGAGGGAGGUCCGAACGCACGAGCUGUGCAAAACUUGGCGAUGAACUGAGGUAAGAAGUGAAAAGCUAAUCGAGCCUGGUAAUAGCUGGUUCUCCCCGAAAUAGCUUUAGGGCUAGCCGUAAGAGUAAUUAACGGAGGUAGAGCACUGAAUAGACGUGGAUGGCUUUGCCUACCGCGUUUAAUCAAACUCCGAAUGCCGUUAUGUUGUCUUACGAGUCAGACUGUGGGGGCUAAGCUCCAUGGUCAAAAAGGAAACAGCCUAGAUCAUCAUCUAAGGUCCCUAAAUUAAGUUAAGUGGAAAAGGAAGUGCGAUUUCUCAUACAGCUAGGAGGUUGGCUCAGAAGCAGCCAUCCUUUAAAGAGUGCGUAACAGCUCACUAGUCUAGAGAUGGCGCGCCGAAGAUUUAACGGGGCUAAAACUUAAUACCGAAGAUAUGGAUUCGUUCGCGUCUCAUUUCAUGAGACUCGAACUCAAAUUAAAAAUUAAAAGUUAAAAAUGAAAAAUUAAGGUGUCGCUCCGCGACUUAUUAAUAAAUGCGCGCAGCGCAUACAAUAAUUUUUAACUUUUCAUUUUACAUUUUUAAUUUUGAGUGAAGCGUCGCGCGAAGCGAGACGCGAACGAGUGGUAGGGGAGCAUUUCUAACUGCUGCGAAGCCAAAUCGUGAGGUUUGGUGGAGCGUUAGGAAGAGAGAAUGUUGGAAUUAGUAACCACAAUGCCGGUGAAAGACCGGCACACCGCAAGCCUAAGGUUUCCUUGGCAAUGUUAAUCAUCCAAGGGUUAGUCGGUCCUAAGGUUAAGCCGAGAGGCGAUACUGAUGGACAGCCGGUUAAUAUUCCGGCACCGCUGUUAUUUUUCAAUGGAAGGACGCAGGGUUGUAGAUAGAGUGUAUUAUUGGAUUUACAUUGGUCGGUUGAGGACGCAACGCAGGCAAAUCCGCGUUGCACCAAUCCAAGACCCGCCAGAAGUUUGGUUCGCCAGACAACUUUAUCGAGCACGCUGCCGAGAAAAUUUUCUAGAGCCAAAAUAACAGCGACCGUACCGAAAACCAACACAGGUGGGCGAGGCGAGUAGCCUCAGGUGAACGGGUGAAUCCUCGUUAAGGAACUCGGCAAUACAACGAUCGUAAGUUCGCGAUAAGAUCUCCCCGCCCUCUAAGCUCUCGGAUAACUUUUUUAAUUUAAUUAAAGUUUGAUAAAUUAGAAAAUUAUUUGAUAAUAUCGGAGAGCAUAGAGGGCGGGGCGCAGCUAAAGACGCCGAGCGACUGUUUAACAAAAACACAGCUCCCUGCUAACUCGCAAGAGGAUGUAUAGGGGGUGACUCCUGACCAGUGCUGGAAUGUUAAACUCGUCGGUCAGUGCUUCGCACUGACGCGCUAAAAAACGCCAAACAAUAAAUCGCCAAAAAACGCUAAACUUUGCGUAAAUUGGCGCGUAUUUUCUUGGCGUAAAUUGGCGUGCCAAUGCGGAGUAUUGGCUGAAUGAGCUAAGCACCAGUGAACGUCCGCGGUAACUAUAAACUCACGGGUUGUAGUUAUAAAAUUCAGCUGUAUGCGGGAAACUCCUUAGAGCUUUAAGUGCGAAACAGUAAUAUCUGUUAACAGUAAUAUCUGUUAAAUGAUAUAAGCUGAAAGCAAAAAUCUUAAAGAUUGGACAAUCCGCAGGAAAGGCCUGAAAGGGAAUCCUCAGAGACUAUACGCUGAACUUGUUGAAAAACGAGAUGAUAUAGUCCGAUCCUACGGGAAACCGUAGGUUCUGAAAUUUAUUUCAGAUGUAAAACUAAUUGAACCGUGUUAAAGUAGCAAAAUACCUUGUCGGGUAAGUGAAUUGCCCGUUUCCGCAGCGAUGCGGGAAUAGAAUCCGGCUUAUAACGGUGAAGUCCUCGCUGGAGGCCCAGAUCAAGGCUGGGUCGCAGAGAGCAGGAUAAUACCGUGGGAAGUCGCCGAAGCACAUAAAUUUUAUGUGCUCGGUUGACCCCGUAACGACUUGACCCUAACGGGUCGGAGUAAAGUUUUUAAAGCUUUGCUAAUAUGCCGACACCCCAUUAAUUUAUUGGGGUAGAAGAUAUAGUCUGUACCAUUAGAAAUAAUGGAUUAAUAUGAAGUUCCGACGCGCAUGAAAGGAGUAACGACUUGGCGACUGUCUCAACGAGGGGCCCGGUGAAGAUGCAAUUCCGGUAAAGAUGCUGGAUACCUGCAGCAAGACGAAAAGACCCCGGAAGCUUUACUGCAGCUUGGUAUUGGGCUUGGCGUUCAACUGCGUAGCGUAGUGGGUAGCCUUUGAAGC
rnacentral:rRNA from 1 species